rnacentral:rRNA from 1 species
UACGGAGGGGGCUAGCGUUGUUCGGAAUUACUGGGCGUAAAGCGCACGUAGGCGGCUUUGUAAGUUAGAGGUGAAAGCCCAGGGCUUAACCCUGGAAUUGCCUUUAAGACUGCAUCGCUAGAAUUGUGGAGAGGUAAGUGGAAUUCCGAGUGUAGAGGUGAAAUUCGUAGAUAUUCGGAAGAACACCAGUGGCGAAGGCGACUUACUGGCCCGGUACUGACGCUGAGGUGCGAAAGCGUGGGGAGCAAACAGG